rnacentral:lncRNA from 1 species
UUUGCUUCCGGUUUCCUUUUCAAGUUUUCAAUUUUAAGCUGAAUUUAUUUUUCGAUGUCUACUUACUGUUCUGGUGAGUCUUCUCUCCAUCUUUCUUUUAUCUGCAGAAGUUUGUCAGUGAAUAUUAGUUUCUUUGUUCUUUUGAAUAAUUUUUGUGCUUGAUUUUCCACAUGAAUGUCAUGAUUUGCCCAUGCGUGUUUGGUAGUAAUAGAUACAUAGGUGCUUGCGAGCAUAUCUGACUUUGAUGAAUAUAUAUUCACUUUUCUAUUUUUUGGAUAAUUAAAAACUAAUUCUUUUUCCUCUUUAAAUUUUGAAAAUUCCCAACAUAUUAUUAGAUAAUAAAAUUUCAAUCUUGCACUGUCUUUUUCAGUUUUUUUAUCGUCCAAGUUGUGUGCUUUUUAAGCUGAGCGCCAAGCUGUUGUGUCAUAGUUUCUUGGUUGUAGCUAGAUGAUUUUUCUAUAUUUUUUAAUUUUAGUGGUUUGAUAUGAAACAGUGAUAUGUGAAAAUCAAGGGCAAGCAAGGUGAAAGUAACUACUUUACUACCGAAGGAAAAAUAAUUUUCAACUACAUCAUUUUUAUCUUUUUAAUAAAGUAAUAUUGUAUAAUCUACAAUGCAUUAAAUAUGAGCAUAUUUGAGUUACCUUCUGCACAAAUUUUCUGUACUGAUAGUCAAAUUAGUUAAUCUUGACUAACAUGUAGUUGAUUGUAAUCAAAAGAUUAUUGGAGUAUUCAAAAUGCUAAGCUUAAUAUGAGCUUUAACGUUGUUUAAUUUGGUCUUUAAGCAGUUUUAAUGCUUAGUCAUACCAGAUAAUAUUAUAACCUGUAUAUCUAAAGAAUGACUGUUGAAAGCUCAUAAUCUCUCAGAAAUGUUGCGUUACUUUGCAGUACUCGUGAUUGACUCAAUGAUUUUGUUUUAGUAAAUACUAAAUGGUCCUUCCACAAAAUAGUAGUUUCAUGAUCUUUUGUACAUGUAUAACUUUCUUGCUUAAUGAGUGCAAUUGCUUAGAGAAAAUUAAUAUACUCUGACAGUUCUCUUUUUCUUUGAAUGUUGUACAGGUACAAUAUCCAUCGUAGUAGAUAUCUAUGGACUGUCUGUACAUUACUAUUGAUGCAAAUUGUAUUUUCAGAUUAUUUCUUAUACUGGAAUAGGAGAGUGCACUGAUUUGGCUUCAUUGAUGUGCUUCUUGGUUUUGGAUUUGGCCGAGCGAAGGAGAUGUUGGACCAUCUUAGAAGCGUGUUUGCAAAUAAUCUGACCAAUUUAGAGCGCACGGUUCAUUGUAGAAGCUAAAAACUCAGGUCUGUCAUAUCUUUAUUUGGCAUUUCACCAAAUUUUUUCAUUGAAAAAUGUUAUUCAAUUGCACAAGGAUACUCCAUCAGUUACUGCAUGUUCUUCUGAAUUCUGGUGUCCGAUUAUUCUAAUUCCAAAUGUAUAGCUAGAGUAUAUGCUUUUGUUUUCUAGCUAACAUGCCUUUAUUUUCCAGGUGGGAGCAAGGCGCAACUCGCUAUAAACCAUGUCUGCAGUCUGUUGAUUCAUCAUAAGCUGUAAAUCUAUGAUGCUAAUGUGAAAUCACUGUGGCACUACCAAGUUUCUUCUUCAAGUAGUCACUAUAAAUAAAAUGGAAAGUUUAAAGUAAUACAACUUUUGGGACGAUAAACUGAUGUAAUAUUUCCAUGGAAAAUGUAGUUUUCAUAUAAUACCAAUUAACUUACACUGUGUCGUUUGCCCGAGGAUUGAAGGAUAUAAUGCAAUUUGAAGGUUAAGAAACUCUUCCUGGAUUCUUUCUGUAGAAAGAGGGAGCUCUAUCAGGGUAAUUUUAAGCUGCAACCAGUCCAUUUCAAAGCCCGCAUUUUUUUAAGAUUGUUUGAUCUGCAAUUGUAUGUUCUUUACUCCUCCUGCUUAGUCUGAUGCAUAAGUUUUCUUUUGAAACUCUUUUAAGUUAUUUUGUUGUUCCUUAACAAGAAAUAUGAAUUUGUGUGAUGGUAUUGUCAAAUCUAUUUCUACUUCAAUUUGUA